ensembl:lncRNA
UUUUUUUUUUUUGGUUGUGGCUACAGAGCUAAAAAGGCAAAGCAAAUGAUCUGGUUCAUUUGACCAGCUCAAGCAGCCAACCUGGAAGGUCCUUUGGCCUGACUGCUGGUUUGCAAGAGCUCCAACAAGCCCGAACUUCACUGGGGUCUAUCUUGUAUGUUCACAGACUAGGUUCUUAUCCAUCUCCCAGACUUGAGAGGGACACCACCUCCAUCUAGAAAAGAGGCUAAAGAGGAAUUUCAUAAAUUACAUUAAUUCAGCCAGUCUGAUCCCAGUAGACUCAACCGAACAUCAAAAUCUCAGGGAGGAAGUUUUUAAAGCACAGAUUUCAGGAUCCUCUUCCAACUGUAAAGCUUCUGCCUCUGUGGGGCUGGUGCAUGUGUAGCUGUAGGUCAGUUCCUCCAGGUGAUUCUGAUGAAGCCCAUGGAGCCCCCAUUAGGGAACCACUGCUGUUCCCAAUUGAAUUGAAAGCUAAGGUUUCUCUAAGUGGACUCCGGAAAAUACAGAUUCCAAAGAGUCUUCCAUUGGGACCACAUGGAGUUACAAAGAGCCUGGUUCCAGCACCGGAUGUGGCAUGGCUUGCCAAGCCGUGCGUAGGUCCGCACCCGGGAUCCCAACCGGCAACUCCGCCAACGAAGUGGAACGUGCAAACUUAACCGCUGUGCCACCAGCUGACCUGGCUUCCUGUUCUUUUCUGGCCUAGCCAAGGGCUGGGACUCAGGCAAACCUAGAGGGUGGUGGGUGACAGGAAGGAGAAGGGAGCUGUCUUGCCUCGUUAGGUGCAGGAAUGGAGGUCGGGAGGCUGCUCUUCCCAAGCCUGAACAAUCCUGAGCUGUUCCCUGCCCCCAGAACCAGGGAGCAGAGACGGCAAGACGAAAUUGCCUUCUGAAGCCUGGGAAAGGCCGUCAACACAGAGACCAGCGACUAACGGAGGAUGCACACGGGGUGGGGCUGGGCACACAGACCACGACCACUUUGAGGCUACACAAAGGGCUUGGAGAUGCCAGAUAUAGCCUAGGGUAGUGGUUUUCAAAAUGUGGAACCAUCAGCAUCACCUGGGACCUUAUUGAAAUGCAAAUUCUCAGAUCCACUGAAUCAGCAACUCUGGGGUUGGGGACAGCACUUCAACGCCUUCAGGGGAUUCCGAUACGUGCUCAAGUUUGAGAACCAGUGGUCGACUCCAGGGAGCCCAGGGAGGGGAGGCGCGUCCCAGACACCCCACACCUACAACACGUGAUGAGUCUGUCUUCCCUAAGUGGGUUCCAGGAAGCCAAGCAGGACCUCAGAUGUCACCCCAGCAAGAAUUACGGCCACUGUCCUCCCCACCAUCCACCCCCUACACCCUCUCCCUUUGGCCCAGAGGCCGGGGACUCCACCUCCCCGCCCCAGUGGGCGAGCAGUCGUCGGUGCACCGUCCCUGCCAAGCGUCGCGGAGUCCACAGGCCCCCGGGCUGCCAGUAGUGACCUUGCGGGGAGGAAUGACGGCCGUGAGACUCCACUCUGACUUAUUUUGUUCCAUUCCGGGAGGAAUAAUUUGUUUCGUAUUGGAAUCAAAGCGCCUCUCGCGGCGCUUCCGUUUUAUCUCGGCCGCCGCGGGGCCGGGGCGCGGCGGCUGCUUCCCAUUAGGCGGGCCUGGUCCCCAUUACGCGGCCGGCUCCGCGAACCGGGCGCAGCCCACCCGCCUCCGCCCGCGACACCCGAGCCCCACUCCUCCCCGCCCCAGAGACGAGCGGGACUGGGGGGCUGGAGGCGGCCCGGGGGUCCACACAGCUCCCCUCCGCUGCUUGGCUGUCGCCGUGCCUGCCAUCACACCGUUAGCGGCGCUCCUUAGGGUCAGACGCGGCUCCUACAAGGACACUUUUAGGUCCCCAUCUCUUCAGUGGAAGUAGGUCCCCAGGGCUCUCGGCUUUAGGCCCUGGGCCCACCAAAAGCCGCACCCACGGAGGAGAGCAGCGAGGGACCCCUCAACCCGGAGAGGAAAAGGUGUCCCCUCCACCUGCCCACAGAACCCCGGAGCCGGGCCCUCACGGCGGCGCAGGGAGCGCGGGAGACCUGCUUCUCUCCUAGUCCGGCAUCCACUUCACAGACAGUGUAGACCGUCAAUAGGGAGUACUGAACAGAAGAGCCACACCCAAUCCCCCUGCAGACAAGGGGCCCGCUGAAAGCAGACCACCUCCCACCGGGGAAGGGCGGUCUGCACGCGCUGGCCAAAGCAAGGAGCUGGCCUUCCACGUGCUGCCUUCCCCAGGGCGGCAAAGGGUCUGCGCCCACCUGCACGGCUGGGAGAAACAGCCAGACGCCCCCACAACCGCCAGAGCAAAAAACAUUAACACAAAGGCCCUCAUGUUCUCGUCACAUUUCACACUUCCUUUGAUUUCAUUAAUUUUGUUUUUGCACAAACAAUAUUCUAAUAAUUAUGGCGACUUAGAAAUGGGACUGAUGAUGGCUCUGCUUCCAUCCAAAACAAGAGAAAUUCCACGCAGCUUCUAUUACCCGGGAUGAUGAAGCCACAGGGGAAGGCAGAGUGCUGGUUCACUGCAUUCUUGUGAUAAAUGUGAGAAAACACAAUGUAUUUUGUAUGUCAAAUCUUAUAAUUGAAGAUAAAGUACAAUUCCAGAUUUUUGCCUAAGGGGGAAGAAAAAUGGAUGGAAAGCCACCCAAUCACCCAAAGUCUGACCACCAAUAAACCAAUUAAUUUCAUUUUUCCGUGUUGCUACACAGUUUAUAACUAUUUAACAACUACACAGUUCAUAACUAUUUAACAACUACACAGUUCAUAACUAUUUAACAACUACACAGUUCAUAACUAUUUAACAACUACACAGUUCAUAACUAUUUAACAACUGCAUGACAUCUAGUCUUCUGGAUGUGGCCUGAUUUAUUUAACUUCCCC